rnacentral:rRNA from 1 species
GUAGGUGGCAAGCGUUGUCCGGAAUUAUUGGGCGUAAAGCGCGCGCAGGCGGUUCUUUAAGUCUGAUGUGAAAGCCCACGGCUCAACCGUGGAGGGUCAUUGGAAACUGGAGAACUUGAGUACAGAAGAGGAAAGCGGAAUUCCACGUGUAGCGGUGAAAUGCGUAGAGAUGUGGAGGAACGCCAGUGGCGAAGGCGGCUUUCUGGUCUGUAACUGACGCUGAGGCGCGAAAGCGUGGGGAGCAAACAGGGAUUAGAUACCCUGGUAGUCCACGCCGUAAACGAUGAGUGCUAAGUGUUAGGGGGUUUCCGCCCCCUUAGUGCUGCAGCUAACGCAUUAAGCACUCCGCCUGGGGAGUACGGCCGCAAGGCUG